rnacentral:rRNA from 1 species
UACGUAGGGGGCGAGCGUUGUCCGGAUUUAUUGGGCGUAAAAGGCUUGUAGGUGGCCACGUCAAGUCGGAUGUGAAAUCUCCCGGCUCAACUGGGAGGGGUCAUUCGAUACUGGCGGGCUCGAGGCCGGUAGAGGGGGAUGGAAUUCCGCGUGUAGCAGUGAAAUGCGUAGAUAUGCGGAGGAACACCGAUGGCGAAGGCAAUCCCCUGGACCUGUACUGACGCUCAUGCACGAAAGCGUGGGGAGCAAACAGG